GAGCAUUCUACAUUCAAACAUCCCAGAUUUCUGUUCCUGUUUAUGGAAGGACUGACACUGACAUCUACCACAAGAAAGAAACUCAUCAGCACAGCAGGGACUGAAUGGACAAACCCACAUUCCACACCAUGUUUGAACACAUUUAUAGAAUAUGGGACAUUAAAGUUUUGCGCAGAUGUCC